rfam:Schistosoma margrebowiei strain Zambia genome assembly, scaffold: SMRZ_scaffold0000937
AGCUUUCUGAGUUUGUGCUGAAAUUUUUUCAGAUACCAGAGCACCAGGACUGAUGAGGCUCCCAAGAUAAGUAAAGCG